rnacentral:rRNA from 1 species
UACGGGGGGAGCAAGCGUUGUUCGGAUUUACUGGGCGUAACGGGCGCGUAGGCGGCCACCGCAAGUCGAUUGUGAAAUCUCCGGGCUUAACCCGGAAAGGUCAACCGAUACUGCGGGGCUAGAGUGCAGAAGGGGCAACUGGAAUUCUCGGUGUAGCGGUGAAAUGCGCAGAUAUCAGGAGGAACACCGGUGGCGAAGGCGGGUCUCUGGGCAACAACUGACGCUGAGGAGCGAAAGCGUGGGGAGCGAACAGG